GGGCGGUUAGCUCAGCUGGUAGAGCAUCUCGUUUACACCGAGGGGGUCAAAGGUUCGAGUCCUUUACUGCCCACCA
rnacentral:tRNA from 2 species